rnacentral:rRNA from 1 species
CUUGCAGGAAUGAGAGUUAAUAUAAUUAGUUUAUUAACUUGCUUGACUAGGUCUUAUAAAGUUCUGGAUAAAGCUUAUUAUGAAAACUUUAUAUCCAUAGGUCUCGACCAAAUCUUGUGCCAGCAGUCGCGGUAAGACAAGGGAGACGAGUGUUAUUCAUCUUUAACAGGUAUAUAGGGUACCUAGACGGUGUGCAAUGGCUUAUAUAAGUACCUGGUACACUUGAGUUUGAUAUGUGAGAGGAAUAUGUCGGAAUUGUUGGAGGAGAGAUGAAAUUUGUUGAUACCAAUAGGACUGGUAACGGCGAAGGCAAACCUCUAUGUACAUGUACUUGCGAUUUCUAAUGUAGAAGAAAUUUCUCUCGAUAAGUUUAAAGAGGAAAUAAGCAAUGUGCUAUAACUGACGUUGAGGGACGAAGGCUCAGAUAGUGAAGAGGAUUAGAUACCCCCGUAACCUGGGCAGACAAUGAUGAGUGCCAUAGGUUGGCUUUAAGCCGGAACUAUAAAUGAAAGUGGAAGCACUCCACCUCAAGAGUAAUGUGGCAACGCAGGAACUGAAAUCAUUAGACCGUUUCUGAAACCAGUAGUGAAGUAUGUUAUUUAAUUCGAUGAUCCGCGAAUAACCUUACCACAAUUUGAAUGACCUAAAAUAUGCUUAGCCUAGGGUUAUUAACCCUAGCUUAGACAGUUUUAGACCACAUGCGUUGCAUGGCUGUCUUCAGUUAAUGUCGUGAGAUUUGGUUAGGUCCAUUAAAUUAACGUAAACCCUUGUUUUAUUUAUUAAAAUAAAGCAGCUCUCCGCUUACAAUUGGAUAUGAUAAUAGGGAGUAAG